rnacentral:rRNA from 1 species
CCUACGGGAGGCAACAGUGGGGAAUAUUGGACAAUGGGGGCAACCCUGAUCCAGCCAUGCCGCGUGUGUGAAGAAGGCCCUCGGGUUGUAAAGCACUUUCAGUGAGGAAGAACGCCUGGUGGUUAAUACCCAUCAGGAAAGACAUCACUCACAGAAGAAGCACCGGCUAACUCCGUGCCAGCAGCCGCGGUAAUACGGAGGGUGCGAGCGUUAAUCGGAAUUACUGGGCGUAAAGCGCGCGUAGGUGGCUUGAUAAGCCGGUUGUGAAAGCCCCGGGCUCAACCUGGGAACGGCAUCCGGAACUGUCAAGCUAGAGUGCAGGAGAGGAAGGUAGAAUUCCCGGUGUAGCGGUGAAAUGCGUAGAGAUCGGGAGGAAUACCAGUGGCGAAGGCGGCCUUCUGGACUGACACUGACACUGAGGUGCGAAAGCGUGGGUAGCAAACAGGAUUAGAUACCCCAGUAGUC